CUUGUGUAGCUCCAUAUAUAGGAAUAGAAACUCGACAUGGGCCUCAUUAGCACUCGCAUCCAUGUUCUAUUUGUUUACAUAUUAAUGAAUUGUCACAAAAGACUGGGAUUAGCUGACAAUGCAACGCUGAUAACAAUACGUACACAAGAAUCAACUACAGGAUCUAUCAUCAAUGAAACUGUAAAGGACGAUAGGGAAACCUUGUUGAUCGGAAAUAUUGUUGUUAAUUUUACUGAUUCGUUGGAUGAUGAAUUCAGAUUUGCCCAGAAAGCAGUCGAGGAUAUUAACAGUAACAAAGAAAUGUUUCCGUUGUUUAAACUAAAACUGGAUCCAUGUAUACCUUACAAGCAAAUUAUUCGACUAUAUCUGUAAAGGAUUGAAUACCCCGUUUAUGUUCACUCCCUUCAUCAUAGCAGAGGAUGUAGUAAACGCAGUAUGUGACAAAUGGGGAUGUAUAACGUUAGGGAUGGGUGAUCGUAUACAGUACAGCGAAAUUAACAAAUAUCACACAAGAGUACACGCUGCAGCUUCAGAUUGUGCCUUUGCUUUCGAUGCAAUCAUUGAACGUUUUAAAUGGGAAAAAAUAGGACUACUGGUCUACAUUGCUGCUCUGUUUAAGGAAGAGAUUGGAAAGGGGAAUAUAACUGUAGGAGCUGAAAUACUGUUUAAUAUUGAUGGAUCAUCACCUGAUGUCAUUUGGGAAACAUUAAAGGACAUUCGGAUAUUUGUUGCAUUUGCUCCAGUUGUACAAGCACGGAUUCUACGGAAGACAUCAUGUUAUAUUAUCUUACUACCCAACGGUACAAGAACAGUGGGAUUCGGUUCACGAAACGGAUUUUGAAUGUUCAAGAUCCAACAUGUUUGAGGUUCUUCAAGGAGCCUUGGGAUGUUCUCUCAGCGUAUCAACCCUUUUGGGAAAAUAUGACGAUGAGCGGCAUUUUAAAACAAACCAGACAUAUGCUGAGUUGAGGUCUAUUAUUAGGCCAAGAAGCAAUGUCGAGGUGAGACGGUACUUUCAACCAAUUCUGUAUGACACUAUUUGGGCAAUUGCAUUGGCUUUAAAUGCAACUAUUCAUGAUGUGGAAUAUGGAGUCAACGACGUUAAGAAUUACAAACUAAAUGAAGACAUGACAAAACCAUUAUUGGAUUCGCUGUAUGGUAAUCUACUCAAUGUCAACUUUCAAGGAAUAUCGGGUCACUUCUAUUACAACAACACUAGGGGCUUCAGACAGUUCAAGACCUACAUUGGACUUUUUGGAUCUAAUGGUGAAUUGUCGACGAGCAUUGGAUACGUUGAAGUGGAUAAGAAAAGGGUAGUAAUUUCACAAUCUGAUGACAUUAUAUGGAAAUCGAAAGGUGGCGCUGCCCCACCCGACCGGGAAAUCAAGCAAUAUCAACGCAAGCGUAUCAGUAGUGCCGCCAUUUUUGUGCUCUCUGUCAUUGCGGCCAUUGGUAUAGUUCUAGCGUUGAUCUACAUUAUAUACGCAAUCAGCCAUGGAGGCCAUUUGAUGAUCAAAGACGAGUGGCCGAUAAUAACAAGUGUAAUAAUUGUUGGCUGUAUCUUACUAGACGUUUAUGUUUUGAUUCACGUAGCUGAUCUAGAGACUGGAAUACACCCAGAGCCCCUCCAUGUUGAUAUGUGUAAGGCAACCACGGGGCUACUAAUAUUUGGCUUCACGUUCUUUUGUGGCGGCAUGACGGUUAAACUGUGGGGUGUUUACAAGUUUUUCAGUCAGGACAAAACGAAAGUGAUACAAGAAGCGUGGCUGAUGUUAAUCUUUUUCUUUCUUCUUGUUGCUGACGUUACACUGGUUGCUGUAUGGUUCGUCACAGAUCCCAUGAUUGCAAAUGAAAAGGAAAUUAGCUCAACGUUGGACGAUGAUACAUCAGUCAGAACGAUUACGGUGAUGAUCACAUGUGAAUCAAAAUACAAAACAUAUUUUCUCAUCGCCACCCUGUGUUACAAGGCAAUUGUGUUACUGAUUGGUGGAUUCAUAGUUUGGCCUGCUUUGUUCAUGUCUGUGAAGAAAGGCUUCGUUCAUUUCUCUGAGUUUGUUAUCGCUGUGUUUACUAGUUUGUUGGUCAGCAUUUUGCUGGUUGUUAUAUCGUUCAUGAUCCCGACUGAACCGAAUGCUUUGUUCAUCAUUAAUGGAUGCCUCAUAUUAUUCACAACG
rnacentral:misc_RNA from 1 species